rnacentral:rRNA from 1 species
GACGAACGCUGGCGGCGUGCUUAACACAUGCAAGUCGAACGGUGACGAUCAAGCUUGCUUGGUCUGAUCAGUGGCGAACGGGUGAGUAACACGUGAGUAACCUGCCCCAGACUCUGGGAUAACCCCGGGAAACCGGAGCUAAUACCGGAUAUGACAUGCCCCUGCAUGGGGAGUGUGUGGAAAGUUUUUCGGUCUGGGAUGGACUCGCGGCCUAUCAGCUUGUUGGUGAGGUAAUGGCUCACCAAGGCGACGACGGGUAGCCGGCCUGAGAGGGCGACCGGCCACACUGGGACUGAGACACGGCCCAGACUCCUACGGGAGGCAGCAGUGGGGAAUAUUGCACAAUGGGCGAAAGCCUGAUGCAGCGACGCCGCGUGAGGGAUGACGGCCUUCGGGUUGUAAACCUCUUUCAGCAGGGAAGAAGCGCAAGUGACGGUACCUGCAGAAGAAGCACCGGCUAACUACGUGCCAGCCGCCGCAGUAAUAC